ACUUUCCCCCGUGAAAUUGGUAACAUCUGAAGAAGGGUGCGAAUUAGCUGAUUGGAUUAGAACCCGGAAGCGAUUUGAUGUGCUGGGGUGCUUAUUUUUGUUGAUGUGCGGACAUGGUGCCAGGGUGGUUGGGAAAUCAACUUGCAUGUGCUUAUGUGUAGUUUGGAAAUCAAUUUUGCGGAUCUCGUGGUGCAAAGGCAAGUAAUUUAUUACUUUUCAGCAUCUACUUCUAUAGGAUUACAUGUAUAUCUCGUGAUGAUUCGUCACUUUCUCCUUUGAUCUGUGAAGGAAUCGAGUGGAUCUGCUUGUCCUCACUUGCUUCCAUUCUGCUGUGUGGACUUUGCAAGCUGCUAUGGUAAAACCAUUAGUGCCUCCUUCUCGUAACCCCUCUGCAUGUUCCAAUGAUUUUUAGUUGUAUUUGUUGCUGUGUUCUUACCUGUCCUAGCUGUGAAUGCCAAAUGAGGUGGUUGAAUGCCUAUGAGUUUCCAUUUAAUUAUAAGAAUGAUAUAAAUCUGAGAACGUGCUCAUGCUUGUGACAUCUCGGCUCUAUUAUCAUGUUUGCACUUUUAUUCAGAAUAGCAGGUCAGUGUGAUUGUUCAGAAAUGUCACUUUGAUGUUGUAUAGAUACUCUCAAUUCUUCUUGCCAUUCAUUAUUACGUGCAUGUUAGCAUGUAUGCUGAAAUAAUCAGUGGUUCCUAUUAAAGCAUGUGUGGUAAAGGCAUAUAUAGUAGUUCAUAAAAAAUACUCUUAGAAUGCUACAACAUAUAUCUGGUUGCUUUAUCUCUUCUUAUUGCUGUUUGAUAGGGGUGCAACUAUUGCUGAUGUUCACCAUCACUCUUUGUUGUUGUUUGAUACUGUACUUCCAUUUUGCAGAUAAUCUCUCUGGUCCUUUUUAUAGUUCUCCACUUGUUUGUUGAAAUGACUAGUUUGAUUGAAAAUGAUGACAAGGUCUGCGAUUAGAAGCUGAGACUGAUGCAAAACUUGAGGUCGUGCGUAAAACAUGGAUUUGCUGGAAGCUACUUUUUUUUUUUGUUUUCCAGAACUGUAAGAGGUUUUGCUAGAUUAACUAGAGUUACACUGAUUUCAUGCAGAAUUGAAAAACUUUGAUGUUGUAUCAUGUAUGUAUGUGAUGAGUUGUUGGAUUAGAAUGUAUGCUAGUUUAUAUCUUGAUUUGGGCUGAAAUGAUAAUGCAUUGAUUAGAAAAA